AUACGCCUGGACUGUUCUU
rnacentral:misc_RNA from 1 species